rnacentral:rRNA from 1 species
UACAGAGGGGGCAAGCGUUAUUCGGAAUUAUUGGGCGUAAAGGGCGCGUAGGCGGCCAUUCAAGUGACGGGUGAAAGCCCUCGGCUUAACCGAGGAACUGCCUGUCAGACUGGAUGGCUUGAGACCGGGAGAGGUGAGUGGAAUUCCCAGUGUAGCGGUGAAAUGCGUAGAUAUUGGGAGGAACACCCGUGGCGAAGGCGGCUCUCUGGGACGGUACUGACGCUGAGACGCGAAAGCGUGGGGAGCGAACAGG